UACGUAGGGGGCAAGCGUUGUCCGGAUUUAUUGGGCGUAAAGAGCGUGUAGGCGGCUGGGUAGGUCCGUUGUGAAAACUCGAGGCUCAACCUCGAGACGCCGAUGGAAACCCUCCAGCUAGAGUCCGGAAGAGGAGAGUGGAAUUCCUGGUGUAGCGGUGAAAUGCGCAGAUAUCGGGAAGAACACCCGUGGCGAAGGCGGUUCUCUGGGACGGUACUGACGCUGAGACGCGAAAGCGUGGGGAGCGAACAGG
rnacentral:rRNA from 1 species